UGCGUAGUGCGCGUGCGCUGAGGCGGUGUGGUUGAGCGGCGCAUGCGCAGGUAUCCCGUCCGAGCUGAAGCGGUCUGUAUGGCUGCCAGCGCCAAAUCGUGCGUGUCCGAUGCAGGCUAUGGGGAGCAGGAGCUGGACGCGAAUUCUGCUCUCAUGGAAGUCGACAAAGUUCCUGUCCUUCACCUCUUGGGGAGUUUACUUACUGGAUGCACUUCCUGGCCUUGUGUUUGAUGCAGCAAAAGAAGAUGUGGCACUGCGGACGAGCAUACCAAGGAAGCUGCUUCUGGUGGAUGUAGCUGACUCAAGGAGAAAGCUGAGCAACCUUGGAUGCUGAGCUCUAAUUGUGGGAAACUAUAGCCUUGGCAGAGAUCAUUCUCUGCACGAAAACAUGGGAAAUUACAGAAGCAUAACAAGACAAUUGACCUUGCUUAUGCCUGCCGAGAAUCUUCUUAUUGUCCAGUAACAAGGCUCAGGGUAUUGGGAUCGCUCACUGCGUGGCCUUGGCUCUGCAAGAAUUGCACGAGUGCGGACUUGUAGAAGUGCUUUUUGUUGUGUUAAUAAAAAAAUGGAGAGGGUGAGGGUG